rnacentral:rRNA from 1 species
GAUGAACGCUGGCGAGAUGCCUUACACAUGCAAGUUGUACGAGAAUUUUAAAUUCAAGUGGCGGACGGGUGAGUAACACGUAAGAAUUUGCCUUUAGGAGGGGGACAACAACUGGAAACGGUUGCUAAUACCCCAUAUGCUUUCGAGUGAAACGGAGUUUUCCGCCUGAAGAGAAGCUUGCGCCUGAUUAGCUUGUUGGUGAGGUAAUGGCUCACCAAGGCGACGAUCAGUAUCUGGUUUGAGAGGAUGAUCAGACACACUGGAACUGAGACACGGUCCAGACUCCUACGGGAGGCAGCAGUGGGAAUUUUCCGCAAUGGGCGAAGGCCUGACGGAGCAAUCUCGCGUGAGGGAUGACGGCCUAUGGGUUGU